UACAGAGGGUGCGAGCGUUAAUCGGAAUUACUGGGCGUAAAGCGUGCGUAGACGGUUAUUUAAGUCGGGUGUGAAAGCCCCGGGCUCAACCUGGGAAUUGCAUUCGAGACUGAAUAGCUAGGGUACGGUAGAGGGAAGUGGAAUUUCCGGUGUAGCGGUGAAAUGCGUAGAUAUCGGAAGGAACAUCAGUGGCGAAGGCGGGUUGCUGGGCUGACACUGACGCUGAAAUGCGAAAGCUAGGGGAGCGAACGGG
rnacentral:rRNA from 1 species